UACGUAGGGUGCAAGCGUUAAUCGGAAUUACUGGGCGUAAAGCGUGCGCAGGCGGUUGUGUAAGUCUGUCGUGAAAUCCCCCGAGCUUAACUUGGGAACUGCAUUUGGGACUGCAAGGCUAGAGUACGGCAGAGGGGGGUAGAAUUCCUGGUGUAGCAGUGAAAUGCGUAGAUAUCAGGAGGAAUACCGAUGGCGAAGGCAGCCCCCUGGGUCGAUACUGACGCUCAUGCACGAAAGCGUGGGGAGCAAACAGG
rnacentral:rRNA from 1 species